AUUGAACGCUGGCGGCAUGCCUUACACAUGCAAGUCGAACGGCAUCGCGGGAAAGCUUGCUUUCCUGGCGGCGAGUGGCGAACGGGUGAGUAACACAUCGGAACGUACCGGCUAGUGGGGGAUAACCCGUCGAAAGACGGGCUAAUACCGCAUACGCUCUUCGGAGGAAAGCAGGGGACCUUUGGGCCUUGCGCUAGUCGAGCGGCCGAUGUCCGAUUAGCUAGUUGGUGGGGUAAAGGCCUACCAAGGCGACGAUCGGUAGCGGGUCUGAGAGGACGAUCCGCCACACUGGGACUGAGACACGGCCCAGACUCCUACGGGAGGCAGCAGUGGGGAAUCUUGGACAAAGGGGGCAACCCUGAUCCAGCAAUGCCGCGUGGGUGAAGAAGGCCUUCGGGUUGUAAAGCCCUUUCGGCAGGGAAGAAAUCGGCGGGGCGAAUAACCCUGCUGGACGACGGUACCUGCAGAAGAAGCACCGGCUAACUACGUG
rnacentral:rRNA from 1 species